GCUGGAGUGGUCCAAUUGGCAGAGGCGCUUGUUUCAAAAGCAAGUCAUGUGUGGGUUCGACUCCCACCUCCAGCA
rnacentral:tRNA from 1 species